CAGCAGCCACGGGAAAACAGAGGGUGCAAGCGUUAAUCGGAAUUACUGGGCGUAAAGCGCGCGUAGGUGGUUUGUUAAGUUGGAUGUGAAAUCCCCGGGCUCAACCUGGGAACUGCAUCCAAAACUGGCAGGCUAGAGUAGGGCAGAGGGUGGUGGAAUUUCCUGUGUAGCGGUGAAAUGCGUAGAUAUAGGAAGGAACACCAGUGGCGAAGGCGACCACCUGGGCUCAUACUGACACUGAGGUGCGAAAGCGUGGGGAGCAAACAGGAUUAGAUACCCCCGUAGUCCCUGUCUCUUAUAC
rnacentral:rRNA from 1 species